rnacentral:rRNA from 1 species
GACGAACGCUGGCGGCGUGCUUAACACAUGCAAGUCGAACGGAAAGGCACUGCUUUUGUGGGGUGCUCGAGUGGCGAACGGGUGAGUAACACGUGUGUAACCUGCCCUUGUCUUUGGGAUAACUUCAGGAAACUGGGGCUAAUACCGUAUAGGAGCCCCUGCUGCAUGGAGGGGGUUGGAACGUUUGGGCGGUUGGGGAUGGACUUGCGGCUUAUCAGUUUGUUGGUGGGGUAGAGGCUUACCCAGGAGUUGAAGGGUAGCUGGCCUGAGAGGGUGAACAGCCACACUGGAAGUGAGACACGGUCCAGACUCCUACGGGAGGCAGCAGUGGGGAAUAGUGGACAAUGGGCGCAAGACUGAUCCAGCCAGACGGAGUGGGUGAAGAAGGCCUUCGGGUUGUAAAGCCCUUUUGUUGGGAUAGAAAAGCCGCUGGUUUAUACCCAGCUGUUAUGACGGUAAACGAAGAAUAAGCCCCGGCUAAAUUCGUG